GUCUUAUUUAAAUAAUUGACAAGUGUCUUACUAAUUCAAAAUACAAACAUAAAAUAUAAUAAAUAAUAAAUAUAAACAAAAAGCAAACAACACAGCAACUUCUUCACGCAACUCUCACCUGCAAAGCUGCAAAAGUAAUAGAAGUAGAUUUGUAAAUCCAAAUCAGAUGCAUGUUGAGCGCGUUUUUUCCUUUUUAGGAUUAAAAUUUGAACUUGCAUUGAAACCAGAGCAAGAGUAAACAAAUUUCAAAUCAGGAUUUUAAAAAUCAAAUCUUUCCUUGAUUCUCUCUCUCUCUUCUUUCUCGCGCUCUCUCUCGGAUUUGUUUUUUCUAUCAUCUUCUUCGUCUGUAUCGAGGAAGCUAUCGAGCAGUGGUAGAAAGUAUUGAUUAAGUGAGAGUGUUAAAACAAACGAAGAAAAUGAGAGCAAGAUCUGAGAGAAGAGGAGGCAGACAAAGAGAAUCGAGCUUCAGGAGCAGAGGCGAAGAGAACUUUCACAGUGGAAAAGAAGCUCUCAUGCCAAUGUCAAAUAUGGUUACUGCGAUGCACUAAAUCUUGCUGCUAUCAGCCAAGAGGCAGCAGUUCGGUAGCAAAGUGGUGACGCCAGAAAGCUAACCGGUGGAUAUUCACCGUUGGAGAUGGGAGAGAAGAAUGGUGAUGGAUAUCUUGCCAUUGAAGAUGUUAUCGGCUGUGAGGCAAAGGUAAGCCUUUUUUUUUUUUAAUUUCAAAAUAAAAAACUACUGUAUUUUUUUCUAAUCUUCUUCUGUUUUUAUUUCAAAACAUUUGUUUCCCUUCUU